rnacentral:lncRNA from 1 species
GUUGGGUUUUAAAGGUGUGAACAGGAAAUGAAGGGUUGUGACUCUCCUGAAGAGUUGUGACUAUGCCGAAGGGUUGUGAACUUUAUGAAAGGUUGUGUCCUUUCUAAAGGUUUGUGACCGUUUGAAAGGUUAUGCCUUUUCCAAAGUGUUGUGACCUUUCUGAAAGGUUGUCUUCUUUCUGAAAGGUUGUCUUCUUUCCAAAGGGUUGUGACCUUUACCCUUUGUUGGCUAUAAAU